GAGUUUGAUCCUGGCUCCACCCGCGAACGUUAGCGGCGGGCCUAACACAUGCAAGUCGAACGAGAAAGCCUUCGGGCGAGUAAAGUGGCGCACGGGUGAGGAACGCGUAGGUAAUCUACCCUCAGGCGGGGGACAACACUCCGAAAGGAAUGCUAAUACCGCAUAAGACCACGCUCACUACGGUGAGAGAGGUAAAAGGCGCCUCAAAGCGCCACCAGAGGAUGAGCCUGCGUCCCAUCAGCUUGUUGGUAAGGUAACGGCUUACCAAGGCGAAGACGGGUAGCUGGUCCGAGAGG
rnacentral:rRNA from 1 species